UCAAGGCCAAAUUUCAUUUUUCUUUGAUGGCCACGCUUGUCCUUUGGGUUAUUGAGGUACUGUUAUAGUUUAAGAUAAAGUGUUAGUUCUUUUUCGUCGGCAUUCCUUCGUUUCAUUCCCUAUAUAUUUACGUUUCUUAAACCCUAAUUUCAUUCGUCAAAUUACAAACCAUAGCCGACAUCUAUACUUCCUAUUUCACUGAAAUCAUACGCUACAAACUCCUUCAAACUUUCUUGAAAAUCUCGCAUCAAAUUGUGAUUCGUCUUGUCUCAGCCGUAAUAGACUCGGUCCUUUACAAUCUCUAAGUUUUGGAAUUGAAGUCGACCCGUCGACUGCUCGUGCUUCGGAGUCUACGCAGGGUUAGCUGUUUGUCAAGAUCACGUGGAUAAGCAAGCUGUUUAUGAUUUGAAAGCUGGUCCACUCCGAUUCUUUUGAUUCUUCGGAGGUUUUUGUGUUAUUUAAACUAGUUACUGUUUUUGAACUCUUAGACCGCAGUAGAGCUAGUUAUUAUAUAUUAUAUUGAUAUUACACAUUGGGAUUAUCAAUUUGAUCGAUUAUUUAUUAUUAGCAUGUUUACUCUGGAUUAUUUUAAUAUUAUAUUUAAGGCAUGCUGUUGAGCAUUUUUGGAUAUUUAACUUAUUUAUAUUAGAACUGUAAUAUAAAUUGCUAGACUUAGGUUGGAGUCUCGGUUGCCCCCGAGCAGUUUUUUGUAGUUUUAAAUGUUUAAUUGUUUUCCGCAAGGCUUGCUACGGGUUUUGGUACGACCAUACCCAUACCCUAGCGCCGGUCCCGAUCCAUGAAAUUGGGUCGUGACAAAGUUGGUAUCAGAGCUUUAGUUUCGAACUAAGGCCAAAUUUUUGCAUGUUGCGUGUUUAUCGCUUUAAGGCAUGUUAAGUGUUAUAGUUAUGUCAUAGGAUCUACUGCGGAAUUAGGAUUCAAGUUUUGUCUUUUGAAACGUCAUCAUUUGUUUUUAAAACUUUCUGCCUGCACCGAUAGGAUUGCGUCAAGUCAGUCAUUAAUUAUGCUUUGAUUUGAUGUUUUUAUUUUACUAUAUUGAUGUUAUUUCACUUGGGUGAAUUAAUUGCUUAUGAUUUCUCGGGAAAUCUUAUGUUGGUAAUUUUCUUUAUGUCAUACUUGAGUAUGAUGUAAAUUGCCUUAUCUUUGUGAUGUUGCUUUUCAUUUGGGUAAUACAUUUUGGUUGUUAUACUUUAAGGAUGUUGAUGUUAAAUUAUUUUGUCGGUACUUCUGGUUUUUGCCGUGAACUUCGAUUUCAAAAAUUUAUAUUUGUUAGGCUUUGACAUUGUUUUGGGUUAAAUGAUUUUUGACCGAAAAAUCUUUUUCACGUUUUGUGAAUUGCGUUGUUGGCACUUAUUGGUUUUAAAUUAUCUUAAUAUUAUUUUUUUCUAACUAGUGUUUGACAUAAAAAGGUCAAAUGGGUAGUCUGAACACGACACCCUAAAAUAUUAUUUUCAAUAUCUUGCCAGUAAAAUGAAAUCCGUUUAUUUCAAAGUUUUACAUUUGACUAAGGAUUGAAUAAGGGUUAUUAUUUUGAAACAAAAUAAAAUUCUUGUAUUUUAAAAAUUAAAAUGUUACGUCUAGCUUGGUGUUUUCAAAAUGAUUGUUUUGAAAUAAUUUUUCAAGGCGAUACCGAUUUGAUAAUUUAACAUAAUUUUGUAAUUUUACCAUAUUUCGAUUUGUCAACACUUUGGUGUUGUUGGUCUUAUGCUUGAUUUACUAAUUUUGGUUGAAGCAAGUAUUUCUGAAAAGAUUGUUAAAGAAUAAUUGUUUUUCCACUUGCGAGAUUAGUUGAUGUUAUUACUUUGGGUGACGUCGAGCUACCUAUUUUGAAAAUAAUGAGAUUUAUGUUCAAAAGGUUUUUUUUUGGAUUUUAAAAUGUGUUGCAUAUGUUUCAUAAAUGGAUAUUAUGGGUUUGACUUGGGUCACCUAAACUUGGAGUUGAGCUUGGAAGUGGUAAUCACUCGGCUAACUCGAUGAUUUUAAAUUGAGGCGUUUGUGAACAAUUUUAUCUAUUAUUUUAUAAAGAGGUCUUCCGGAAAAUGAUUUUUAAAACUAUGGGGCUCGACAUGAACUUGAAAUCUAUUUUGUAAAUCUUAUCUUUCGAAGUGGGUUUUGAUAAGUACUUUAUGACCAAUAUCUUUAUUAUUUUAAUUUAAGCUGAUGUGUUCAAAAUGUUAUUGUAUGAUUUAAAUUUUCAUCAAUUACGGGUUGUAUUGAGUUGUCACCAUGUCGGUAGGAAUUCAAGGAUCAUAUAAGAUGUUGUGUGCUUAACUUUUUGAAAUUAUUUUUGUUAUCUACCCUAAUGAGUAGUUGUCUUACUGCAAGAUGUUUUAGUGCUUUUCGGUUUGUGUGAUUAAUUUUUGAUCUAUAUUACUAUGUUAUUAUUAUUGUAUCUCGUGCUUGAUUAAAUUAAGCCAUAUCUGUUUUUUUUUCCUCGUUGACAUCAUUGUGUGGAGUAACACGUGAGAGUAUUCCUUGCUAGUUUUCUUUAGCUUAAUUUUGGUAUUGGUGUCGAUGUGCGAUUCGAACCUUCGUUUUCUUUUACCCUGCGAUUAGUUUUGAUGUUAUAAUUGUUUUAGCCGGAUCUAGCGUUUGACCCUGGAAAUCGAAGUGAUUAAUUUUCUUAUCAAUAAAUUUGAGGAGCGAUUCUCAAGAGCUAUUCGCUGAUUCGAAUCCCGAAACUGUCCUGGUCGGAGGAAGGCAAAUUAAUUAUAUUACUCAACACCGGUGGAAUAAUUCUUCUCGUGUGGGUUUACCUCGUGCGUGAAAUUUUGAACGUUAUGUGUUUCUACGUCGGACUCGUUUGUGAUAAUUUGUUGUAGUUGAAAGUUCAGCUGUGAGUGUUCUAGAAUUAGAUAUGGAAUCUCUGAAUCGAGGUUGAUCAGUGUAGUAAUACAAUAGUGUUCUUUAGAUAGAUCGGUGAAAUACCAAAACUGGAGCUGUGAAGACGGCCGUGUUGCCUUGAUGCAUUUGAAUUUUUUUUUUCCAAUUUGAUUUGAGGGGGAAUUCGUUGUUAGGUAAAUUUUAGUUUCGUUGUUUAUUUGGUUAUUACGUUUUGACAAUUCAAAUUGGUGGACUAGGAUAAUGGAGAUGAGCAAAUAUGUCAAGAUGGACGAGUGCACGUCUCACAGAGUGUAAUGUCUAGAAAAUAUUUCGAAGGAAAAUUGAUUUCAAAAGUUAACUUGUUAAAGUAAUUGAAAUGUUUUUAUCACGUAAUUGUGCCCAGACAUAUCAUGAGCAUUCAUUUAAAAUGCCACGAAUAGGAAACUGCAUUGAGCAUUGAGUAUGAUCAAUAAUUAAAAAAAGAAAUAAAUAAUUGAUACAUGCAUUUAGAGCAUUCAUCACGGCAUUAAAUGGUUAGGGUUGAAUGCAACUCUUUGGGGAUGAGAGCUGUAAUCACCCUGGCGCACAAUUAUGUAAAAUAAAUUUUAUCAGUAAGGCUUUUCAAGAAAAAUGUUUUGUUAUAAACUCGCGAGUUACAUUGUGAAAAUGGUGUUUAAAAAGUUGA